GCUAAGUCUGCUGCAGUUCCGCCUUCAGCUUCCAUUUUGUUCCGCCUUCCCUUCCCUGUGAUAACACAGAGAUCGCUGCAGCCGUCACUGUUUGUCAUUGAGAGCAACGGGUUUGGCCAGGAUCUCAGACACAGGGUUUUACAGACUGCAGAAUUACAAACCCAGAGUGCACCAUGAGGAAUCUUCUCGCACCAAUGCUCGUCAUUUUCUCAAUUAUCAAAUGGAGUCAGGAAGACACGGUGGAACAAGCAGACACUGAAAUGACUGUUAAGGAAGGCGGCAAUGUCACACUCACCUGCAGCUUGACGACAAGCGAUUCCAGCCCAGACGUUUAUUGGUACAAUCAGCUGGCAGGGCAGCCUCCACAGUAUAUGGUUUAUAUACUUGGAGGAAAGAUUGUAAAGAGGAAUCCUGAUUUUCCUGAACGAUUCUCUUUCACAUUUACUAAAUCCACGAAGAAUACAGAGCUAACAAUCAGCAAGGCCAUCAUCUCUGACUUCGCCAUGUAUUUCUGUGCUUUGAAGCCCACAGUGAUACAGAGUUAUGACACAGCCCCUAUAAAAACUCAGAACGAGUGGUUUCGCGGGGUAGCUCUGACACAUUUACUGAAGCGAUUCAACAGUGGAAAAAGAGAACAGUUUUCUGAGCAGCGUUCUCGAAUUGGGACGAAGACCAGCAAACAGUUCCAUGAGAUAUUUCUGAAACUACCAGACGAGGACAUAUCUCGUUCUAGUCUACGUGAAACAUUUUCUUACUUCAUUGCAGAAGCGAUUUCCCAGAGAUGGUCAAAUAAACAGUAG